rnacentral:rRNA from 1 species
AUACGUAGGGGGCGAGCGUUGUCCGGAAUGAUUGGGCGUAAAGGGCGCGUAGGCGGCCCGGUAAGUCUGGAGUGAAAGUCCUGUUUUUAAGAUGGGAAUUGCUUUGGAUACUGUCGGGCUUGAGUGCAGGAGAGGUAAGUGGAAUUCCCAGUGUAGCGGUGAAAUGCGUAGAGAUUGGGAGGAACACCAGUGGCGAAGGCGACUUACUGGACUGUAACUGACGCUGAGGCGCGAAAGCGUGGGGAGCAAACAGGAUUAGAUACCCUGGUAGUCCACGUUGUAAACGAUGAAUACUAGGUGUGGGGGGACUGACCCCCUCCGUGCCGCAGUUAACACAAUAAGUAUUCCACCUGGGGAGUACGAUCGCAAGAUUGAAACUCAAAGGAAUUGACGGGG